GCUCCCGUAGUUCAACGGAUAGAACGGGGACCUCCUAAGUCCCAAAUGCAGGUUCAAUUCCUGCCGGGAGCG
rnacentral:tRNA from 1 species